rnacentral:ncRNA from 1 species
UCUAAGUGCGUGCCGCAAAACUAUAUUACGAAAGCUAACGCCUUUUAGUCGGGCUGUACGGAUGUAUUGGCUUGUCAUUACUUCGGCCAUGGAGGCUCGGGUCAUUCGCGCGAUGUAGCCCAUGCCAUAUAGGGCUAUAGUGAUUACUGGCAAAAGAAAGUUUUCGACGU